rnacentral:rRNA from 1 species
AUUGAACGCUGGCGGAAUGCUUUACACAUGCAAGUCGAACGGCAGCACGGGUGCUUGCACCUGGUGGCGAGUGGCGAACGGGUGAGUAAUACAUCGGAACGUACCCAGUCGUGGGGGAUAACGUAGCGAAAGUUACGCUAAUACCGCAUACGUCCUGAGGGAGAAAGCGGGGGACCGUAAGGCCUCGCGCGAUUGGAGCGGCCGAUGGCGGAUUAGCUAGUUGGUGGGAUAAAGGCCUACCAAGGCGACGAUCCGUAGCGGGUCUGAGAGGACGGCCCGCCACACUGGAACUGAGACGCGGUCCAGACUCAUACGGGAGGCAGCAGUGGGGAAUUUUGGACAAUGGGCGAAAGCCUGAUCCAGCCAUUCCGCGUGAGUGAAGAAGGCCUUCGGGUUGUAAAGCUCUUUCGGCAGGGAAGAAACGGCUUGGGAUAAUACCCCGGGCUAAUGACGGUACCUGAAGAAGAAGCACCGGCUAACUACGUGCCAGCCGCCGCCGUAA